rnacentral:rRNA from 1 species
GACGAACGCUGGCGGCGUGCCUAAUACAUGCAAGUUGAGCGCUGAAGGUUGGUACUUGUACCAACUGGAUGAGCAGCGAACGGGUGAGUAACGCGUGGGGAAUCUGCCUUUGAGCGGGGGACAACAUUUGGAAACGAAUGCUAAUACCGCAUAAAAACUUUAAACACAAGUUUUAAGUUUGAAAGAUGCAAUUGCAUCACUCAAAGAUGAUCCCGCGUUGUAUUAGCUAGUUGGUGAGGUAAAGGCUCACCAAGGCGAUGAUACAUAGCCGACCUGAGAGGGUGAUCGGCCACAUUGGGACUGAGACACGGCCCAAACUCCUACGGGAGGCAGCAGUAGGGAAUCUUUGGCAAUGGACGAAAGUCUGACCGAGCAACGCCGCGUGAGUGAAGAAGGUUUUCGGAUCGUAAAACUCUGUUGGUAGAGAAGAACGUUGGUGAGAGUGGAAAGCUCAUCAAGUGACGGUAACUACCCAGAAAGGGACGGCUAACUACGUG